rnacentral:lncRNA from 1 species
UGAAUAGACCCAGGUCAAAGCCAAAUCCAGAACUGGACUGCAAGACUCUCCCCUCAUCUUUGACAGCACUGUGCCCAUUCUUGUCAACAACUGGCUUGGGAAUCAAAAGCAUUAAAGGCUUACAUAUUGCAGACUGCUGACUCCCAACAUUUUUAGUCUAUGCUCCACUUCAGUGAACUAAUAACUCUUUUAUUGUUGAUCAUAACAGAAGCAGAAUCACUUAGAAUCACAGAAUCAUGAGGAUUGGAAGGGACCUCUGGAGAUCAUCUAAUUCAACCCCCUGUUAAAGCCAUGCCCCAUAGAAUAAGUUGCACAGAAAAGCAUGAGCAAACAACCUGCUGUAAUAUGAGAACUUGGUAUAAAAAAACAAACCUGAUGUAGAAAUUGCUACCAAUUUUUAUUGCAUCCAAAUGAGAACAGGCAAAAAAUUGUCUAAGUUUUGAAAUGUGUAAACAGUUCGUGAAAGAUGAGUUCUUGUGGAGACAAUACACGUAAUUUUUAUUUUCCCAGAUGUAUCACUAUUACAAAAGAAAAUCACUGAACAAUGGAGAGUGAUGGAGACCCAGACUGGUGCCCAAAUACACACAGCCACACACUGUGAGGUCACCAGCCAAGUGGCUGUGAUGUCAGCAAGAGAUGACUGUGAUCUCAUUGACUCCUGUGAGCAAAUUUGGGCACUGGCAGAGACCAGUGUGGACUCGUGCCUGGACUCCAGUCAAGCACAGCUGCGAGACUUGGAUCACUCAACAAGGACUUGGUUUUGUUGUGCUGCGGGGCUGCCAGCAGCAGUUCUUGGUGCCCAUCCCACAGCAUUGCCUGUGUGUCCCUGGCCCUGCCUGGUUCAGGCAGCUGGGGCUCUGUGGGGUGUGCUUGCGGCAGGGGAGUUUGUGACACCUUUUGUCUGCUGCAGCACCCGUGAGGGUAGCAGCUUUCUGAACUCAGCUCUCCCUAGCCUACUACACAGCCCAGGGCCAUGGAGGUGCCAUCAGACUUGUCCUGCCCCAUCUGUGGGCACAGUCAAGAUGAUGUUGCCUACACGACCCCUUGCCUCCCCCAACUUUGCUAUGGGUGUGCGCUCUGGUGCGCGAGGAAAAAGCCAAGAUGUGCCACAUGUGGACACAAAAUCAGGACAAUCCGAUACUCGGUGA